AGACUGGUUUAGAGAAUGACUGCAUGAAUGAACACAAUGUGGCUGUAAGGGGAGACUUCUUACUUGGGUCCAAAUGAGAUCGCACAAGAGCGGGAAGAGAAAUAACUCUUCAUUAUCAGUCGUGAUGAAGCUGCUUUUGGUUUUGCUCUGACUUAAAACCCAAUGGAUGCAGGGGUGUCCCUGUGGAACAGGAGCAGUGGAAUGGCUCGGACACUGACAUCGCAGAGAGGAAGAGCUGGAGUGGGAGCAGAAGAGACACGAUGAUGAUCUAGGCAGAUGACAAGGAGAGACACAGAGAGUGAGAUUUGGAAGUUGGUUUAGCUGCCACACCGGAGGCUGUGCUGUGCUGUACCACCGUUUGCUGCAUGGGCUGCGUAAGGAGCACAGCAUCUGGCCUGCCUGGAGGUGGGAGCAUCUCACAUACUCGAUUCAGAUGAAGAAAUAAAUGACGACUCUGAAACACAACACAGGGCUUAUCAUGACAGGAGUGAAAAGGUAUAAAGACCUAAACUGUUUAUUUGUAUGAGAACAUAAUGGUCCUUGUCAUCGACUUGGGGUUGAAAGGAAUGACUUCCAUCUAGAGGAUGCAGAAAAAACAGGAGAUAAAUUACAACAGCAGUAACAGUUUAAUGGCAAAAGAUUGAAAAAGAGGGAGAAUAUGGAAAUGAGACGGUGAUGAUGUUCUCAGAAUUUAAAUGUGGCUUUGGCAGCAGCGGUACUGUUUGUACAAAAACAAACAAGGAUAAUCAAGAACAAAUGCAUUAUUUUAAAAUAGACUUUAUUUAAUGACAAUAAAUAUAAAUUGCAAUGUUCAGAAACUAAUAGCAAACAUUCUUA